AUGGGCUCCAACAUGUUCCAAUUGUUUCUUCUGGGCAUAUCCAUAAUGCUCUUCAUGGGAGCCAGAGUCCUGACAUUUGAAUGGGUUCGGUUUUGCAAUCAUUGUGAUCAUUUUAAUGGAGUCAGUUGUCUUGGGGGCAUGAAAUCCUGCUGGAAGUUUAAUUUGUAUUUGACAAACAAGAGUUGUGCCACAAAUCACUAUUAUUAUAAUGAUCGUUACACAGGUCUGUACCUAUUUCGUUAUACAACACUGACUUGCAAGCCUUGUGAAGCAGGAAUGUUCCAGGUGUUCCAUGACCUGUUGAGAGAAACC